CUCAGCAUCCUUUCAAACUCCAUAAACCUCUCAGCUCAGUCCUUGCAGACCAGGUAGAGUGCCCUGGAAAAAAUACAUGGGAAAAGAGAAAAAGCCACCAAGUGAAAAGCUAAGAAAAUUAGCCCACAGGACUUGAGUCUCCAUGCACUGCAAAUAUGUUAAAGAGAGCAGUGAAUGAGAUGGAACUCCACAUCAGAAGUAAUGACAACGGGGAUCAAGCAACUGAAUGCAUCCCUUGAUGACUGGAAUUUUU